GUUUAACAGUCUGUAGUUAUGGGCUCAUCUCUUCUGACCACGAGUUGACUGCAUAGAUUAAAAUCUUAGACCAUGAGGAUUUGAUGGUGAGAGAGCAUGUUACAGGUCAGUUCUGUAAAUGCUUAGCUGUAUGCCGAAGCAUGAAUUCUGACGGACCCACUGUUGGUUUUGAAUUCAAGCUUGCCUUUACGUGGCCUCGAAAAACCAUCUACUUGGGUGUAUAUUUUUCUACACAAACCCACGAGAGGGCAGCAGACAGCAAGGGUUCGGGCAGUGCCUCACUACAGGCAGCUCAGGCAGCACCCAGCAAACGGGGAACGAAGCUGGUCGUUGGUUACAGAGCAUUAAAACCAUCUCGAGUCGGGUCUGGAAAGAAAAUGUGAUAGAUACUGUAAUUUUAGAUGAACUUUGUCUCUGACAUUGGAAUCUGCCACUCUCCUUUGGCUCCUGUUUUUACAUCUGCAAGGGCUGUGUUUUUAUUGAAAGGCGGAUGGAAGCAAGCUGGGUUUAAAAACAAUUAUCACGAUAGUAAAGGUGCUGUAGAUAUAAUGGAAAAAAUAUAGUGAAAUAAAAAUUGUGAAAAUUAAUGGUAAUGAAUUGUAACAACACACUUGACAGCUAUUUCAAGGCUUGAAAUAGCACAGAUAAUUAGACAACUGAGAAGUUGCUACAGCAUGUAUGGUUUUGUUCAUACUCAGAUCAUUUUAUCUUAUUAAAAAACAUGAAUUCAGAGACUGUUGCAAUCACUGGAACAACUGAACUACUUAUAUGCAAUUGGAAUUUCUCACUUAGGCCCAAUAGCGUGGCAUGCUAUGUUUCUGAAUGUAGUAUUUCAUUAAUUAGAAAUUAAAUCACCCAUGCUUGUGACAGUAACACAUUGGCUUUGUAAUGUAGUGAUAAUGAAAAGGAU
ensembl:lncRNA